GUAGGGUGCGAGCGUUGUCCGGAAUUAUUGGGCGUAAAGAGCUCGUAGGCGGUGUGUCGCGUCGGUCGUGAAAACUUUCAGCUUAACUGGGAGCUUGCGGUCGAUACGGGCAUCACUGGAGUUCGGCAGGGGAGACUGGAAUUCCUGGUGUAGCGGUGAAAUGCGCAGAUAUCAGGAGGAACACCGGUGGCGAAGGCGGGUCUCUGGGCCGAUACUGACGCUGAGGAGCGAAAGCGUGGGGAGCGAACAGGAUUAGAUACCCUGGUAGUCCACGCCGUAAACGGUGGGCGCUAGGUGUGGGGGCCAUUCCACGGUCUCUGUGCCGCAGCUAACGCAUUAAGCGCCCCGCCUGGGGAGUACGGCCGCAAGGCUA
rnacentral:rRNA from 1 species